AUCAUUUUCCAUUGCAUGAAUAGGAUGGUUGAGUAUUCACCUGUUUGUGUUUUAUGUGCCUCCCUUAAAUCUUGUUAUGAUAUUGGCUCAUUACCUGUAUGACA